rnacentral:rRNA from 1 species
UCGAGAAUCUUCCGCAAUGGACGAAAGUCUGACGGAGCGACGCCGCGUGCGGGAUGAAGGCCCUUGGGUUGUAAACCGCUGUCAGAGGGGAUGAAAUCUUCGGAGGUACUCCUCCGAAGUUGACAGAGCCUCAAAGGAAGCACGGGCUAAGUACGUGCCAGCAGCCGCGGUAACACGUACUGUGCGAACGUUAUUCGGAAUCACUGGGCUUAAAGGGUGCGUAGGCGGCGAUUCAAGUCAGGUGUGAAAUGCCUGAGCUCAACUGAGGCAUUGCGCUUGAAACUGAAUUGCUAGAGUAUCCCAGGGGUGUGCGGAACUGCCAGUGGAACGGUGAAAUGUGUUGAUAUUGGCAGGAACACCGGAGGCGAAAGCGGCACACUGGGGGAUAACUGACGCUGAGGCACGAAAGCCAAGGGAGCGAACGGGAUUAGAUACCCAGGUAGUCCCUGAGCGGGCUGGCAAGGCGCAU